UUAUUUUACACUCAAUAUGUAGAUUUGCUGUAGUAUGCAGUUACGCCACUUGGUGGAGCCUUGUACUUUUUAAUAAGAUUGAGUUACAGUUGUGUUGCCCAAAAGAGCCUCACAAAGU